rnacentral:rRNA from 1 species
UACGUAGGGGGCAAGCGUUGUCCGGAUUUAUUGGGCGUAAAACGCUCGUAGGUGGCCACGUCAAGUCGGAUGUGAAAUCUCCCGGCUCAACUGGGAGGGGUCAUUCGAUACUGGCGGGCUCGAGGCCGGUAGGGGGAAGCGGAAUUCCGGGUGUAGUGGUGGAAUGCGUAGAUAUCCGGAGGAACACCAGUGGCGAAGGCGGCUUCCUGGACCGGUUCUGACACUGAGGAGCGAAAGCGUGGGGAGCGAUCCGG